CUGUACAAAUCGCACCAAGGUGUUAGUGUUGGGUGUGUUGAAGUGAUCGGGAAUGCCAGUGCAAUUCUGGCAGCGGACCCCGCCACUGUAACCGCAAAUUAUGCCCAUUUCUAGCCACUGCAGUCCUGCGGGAAGGGUAGAAAGACACACUUUUUACUGGGCGCGGUAGCCAGGAGACCGGCUUCAACAUUUUAUACGUAG
rnacentral:ncRNA from 17 species